GACGAACGCUGGCGGCGUGCUUAACACAUGCAAGUCGAACGGAAAGGCCCUGCUUUUGUGGGGUGCUCGAGUGGCGAACGGGAGAGUAACACGUGAGUAACCUGCCCUUGACUGUGGGAUAACUCCAGGAAACUGGGGCUAAUACCGGAUAGGAGCUCCUGCUGCAGGGGGGGGGUUGGAAAGUUUAGGCGGUUGGGGAGGGACUAGCGGCCUAUCAGACUGUUGGUGGGGUAGUGGCUUACCAAGGCUUUGACGGGUAGCCGGCCUGAGAGGGUGACCGGCCACAUUGGGACUGAACUACGGCCCAGACUCCUACGGGAGGCAGCAGUGUGAAAUAUUGCACAAUGGGCGGAAGCCUGAUGCAGCAACGCCGCGUGCGGGAUGACGGCCUUCGGGUUGUAAACCGCUUUCGCCUGUGACGAAGCGUGAGUGACGGUAAUGGGUAAAGGAGCACCGGCUAACUACGUG
rnacentral:rRNA from 1 species